UACGAAGGGGGCUAGCGUUGCUCGGAAUGACUGGGCGUAAAGAGCGUGUAGGCGGCCAGACAGGUCCGUUGUGAAAACUGGAGGCUUAACCUCCAGCGGUCGAUGGAAACCAUUUGGCUAGAGUCCGGAAGAGGAGAGUGGAAUUCCUGGUGUAGCGGUGAAAUGCGUAGAUAUCUGGAGGAACACCGAUGGCGAAGGCAGCCCCCUGGGCUAACACUGACGCUCAUGCACGAAAGCGUGGGGAGCAAACAGG
rnacentral:rRNA from 1 species